rnacentral:lncRNA from 1 species
UAUACACUUACAUUUAUUCUGUAUGUUUUAAAACUUUUUUUCACAUAAUGGGAGCAUUCAUAAUACGCACACACACACAUACACACACAGUCUUUGGGAAAUCACUAAGCAUCUAUAGAUUGCAGAAGUCAAAUUAUAUGAGAAAAAGUGAUUAAUGAGUUCAGCAUAUACAUGAAAUCUUUCUGCCCCCUGACCUUCCAAAGUCCCUCCAGAAGCAAACAAACAAAUUGGAAAACUCUAAUCUGAAUCUCUAAAAAAGCCCAAACAUUUUAUGAAUAUUUUAGCAUAAAUAAAUAUUUUAAUACACUCUGCUGCUCAAUUUAUAGCAAUAGCAUGGAGAAACAAGAAGAGAAGAAUCUAUAUUUCACAGAGCAGAAAUAAAGAUCUAGGAUACUAGGUGGAAAGAUGGAAAACUGCUCAGCUGAGAUAGGAUGAAUUAGAUAAUGACAUAGAUAUUUACACAAUUUUAUUUCCAAUUAAGUAUAAUAGUGACAUAUUACAAAAUGUGCCCCAAACAGCAGGCUUUUUUCAGAGCACCAGGUGGUAAGGUACAUCUCAUUUUUGAUUAGAUCCCCAAGCCCCAUCUCCGUGUAGUCCAAGUUUUGCUGUGUGACGGACUAGAUGAGGUAAGACAAUACAAUCUGUGGGUGUUAAAUCUGUAACAACAGCCAGGCUGUGUUCCACAAGAUUCCAGCUCUGCCUUCAACACCUUAGGAGACCGGCGCUAUUUCUCCUUCCUUCUCUUUCCUUCUGCCUCUUCCUCCCUGCACAGUCUUGGCUCUUGUUCCCAUUCAGUGUCACUCUCCCUGAGAAUUGAAUUCUUCCAAUUUUCUAACCAAGAGCGACUCCCUUUCAUCUCCACCUAAGUUCUCCCCUUCCAUCACACCUGGAGAGAGGACUUGAAAUCUAACGGAAACACGAAAGGAUGAAUGAUAUUACUGUUAAACCUCUUCAAAUUCAAACGAGGAUGCCCCUUUCGGUGGAAUAAGACAGUUAAUAAAAGAGCCUCCUCCAAAGCUGUUAUAAUCCUCCAGACGUCUAACAGAAUGAAUUUAACAUAAGGUGUUAAUAAAAGGUCUACGACUCUCAAAAACAUUUUUUCAACUUUAUCAGAAAGGGAAAAUACCCAAUUGUUUGGCUUAAGCAUGAGAGAUAGCUAUAUAUAUGUAUAUAGAUAAAUGCAGAUAAAUACACAUAAGCCUUUAAUUAGCGUUUAAAAAAUAAACUUAGAGGUUAAAGAGAAAGUUCAUGGGAUGAGGGCAGGGGAGCCUCUAUCUGCCCUGCUUUCACACCCUUCCUUUAGAGCUGGCAUUGCUGGGAUAUCAGCUCAGCGCCUUCUCCUACAGCGGAGACUGAACCCAUGCAAGUCACGAGGACACACACGACUCCACCACUGCUGCUUCAUCUUUCCGGUCUAGUGUCCCGUGCCCAGGAGUGGAAGGAAUUUCUGCAAGGUUUUGAGCCUCACGCGUCGCAUCCACAGCCCCAAACCGAAACCUCACCAUUCUAGCCAAAGUGGGCAUUUUUAGUGAUGUGUGGCCUCACCACUUAAAUCCAGUUUAUUGAAUCUGAAGUGAUUUGCUCCUCUUUCUGGACUACACAAUAAACACCCUCCAACGUCCCCAGCCAUGCUCUUCCCAUCAUUUGGCUGAAAGGGGAGGAAUUCAAGGCCUUAGAGUGGGGAAGCUACAAUUUGGAAGAAUCCUGGAAGCACAGAUUACCCUGUGAAGCAGCAUCCCCAUGAGGGUCUCUUUCUUCUGUGAUAUAAGCAAGAAAUAAAUGAAUUGUGC